GACGAACGCUGGCGGCGUGCUUAACACAUGCAAGUCGAACGGUGAAGCGCCUUCCUUUUUGGUGGGUGUGGAUGAGUGGCGAACGGGUGAGUAACACGUGAGUAACCUGCCCCCUUCUUCUGGAUAACCGCAUGAAAGUGUGGCUAAUACGGGAUAUUCUGGGUCUGUCGCAUGAUGGGUCUGGGAAAGAUAUUGUUUCGGUGGGGGAUGGGCUCGCGGCCUAUCAGCUUGUUGGGGGGGUGAUGGCCUACCAAGGCGGUGACGGGUAGCCGGCCUGGGAGGGUGGCCGGUCACACUGGGACUGAGACCCGGCCCAGACUCCUACGGGAGGCAGCAGUGGGGAAUAUUGCACAAUGGGCGCAAGCCUGAUGCAGCGACGCCGCGUGAGGGAUGGAGGCCUUCGGGUUGUGAACCUCUUUCGCCAGUGAAGCAGGCCUGCCUCGUUUGUGGGUGGGUUGACGGUAGCUGGAUAAGAAGCGCCGGCUAACUACGUG
rnacentral:rRNA from 1 species